CCUCUGUAUUGUAGAUCUACAUAUCCCUCUAUCUUCAGAUAAAGAGAGAGAUAGCUAUAGAUGUACACUACACAUAUAGGUAUAGAAAUGUACUUCUUUAUAUUGCUGUUCAGACCCAAAAUAUGGACAGUUAUUUUUAAGAGGGAGAGGGACCAUUGCUAAAGAAAGCCAAAGAAAGGAGAGACUGCAGUCAGUAGCAAUAUAAAUAGCAAGAAAUCAAGACAUCGGAAGAAGGCUAGGAAUGGGAAGGGCAGCUAUGAAAGAGUAACGACCCUAAAGUGUAAGGAUAGAGAUAUAAAACUGAACACCAAAGUUAUGAUCAUCCAAUCCAUUGUAUUCCUUAUUGCCAUGUAUGGACGUGAGAACUGGAUCAACUCAUUUGAGAUGUGGUGCUGGAGAAGAGGACUGAGGAUCCCAUGGAUAGCCAAAAUGACUAAUAAAUAGGCCCCAGAGCAAGGCAUGAUGGAGUAGUGGCUUGAGCGUUGGACUAGGAUUCUGGAGAACUGGGUUCGAAUGCUGGCUCAGCCAUGUGAACCCACUGCGUAACCCUGGGCAAAUCAUACUCUCUCAGCCUCGGAGGAUGGGAAUGGCAAACCCCCUCUGAAGAAACAUGCCAAGAAAACACUGAUAGGGUCACCUUAGAGUUGCCAUAAGUCAGAAAUGACUUGAAGGCGCACAACAAGAGCGAAGCAAUCCUGAACCAAAAUGGCCCGAUUUUACUGUGGCCAUCUGCAGAGAUGACAUGUCUCAUUAGAGACAAUAAUGUUUCUUAAACUGGAAGGCAAUAAAACAAGAGAAAGACUGCAUUACAGGUGGAUAGCCUUAAGCAAGGAAGUCAUAGCCCUGAGUUUACAGGACCUGAGCAGGAUAACGGAUGAUGGCUGAGGCUCUUGGGUCGCUUUCAUUCGUAGGCCUUCCAUGAAUCAAAACCAACUUGUUGGCAAAUAGCAAGGGUUUGGGGCCAGGAUAUUUGAAAGACUGCUUCCUCCUGUAACAACCCUGCCUAUAACUUGUUUUUGUUUUUUAGACUAGUACAAAUCUUACAAGCCUUAGUUUUAUUGGUUUUCUUUUCUUCACCACUUUGGAUUUACUAGUUGCCUGUGCUUGUAAGUGCGUCAUGCCAGGGCUACACAAUGUCAUAGGAAAGAAAGUGUAACUUCUGGUCCUGAGUUAAAAAUAUUUGAGAAUUUAUUUUUCAUGCAGAGCCAUGUUCGAUUUCCAUUAACAAUGGGACAGUACAUGUAUCUUCUCAGAAAUAAACAUCAAUUAAUAAAGUGUGACUUACUCCAUGGUAAACAUGUUCGAGAUUGUGACAGGAGAGACUCUUAAAGGUCAAUGGAAUGUGUGUAUUUCUUUAUGACAAUCAUUUCUUCCCCCAACCAUAUCUAAUUACAUUCCUUUUAUCUCUUAGAGCUAGAAGUAUUGUACGUUAUUCCCCCCCUCCUCAUUUUUAUCCUAACAACAACCCUAUAAGCCAAUGCAGGUGGAGAAAUGCAAAUGUGGAACCAGUUCUACUGAGUUGGAGCAGUGGACAGCAAUACAGAUCGCCAUUUUCAGCAGCUGUUUGUGUUUCUUGAAACAGUUUGCCAGGCCUCUGAAGUUGACUCUGAGAGUCUUAUCACACCAAAGGUUCUUGUUGGAAUCGUGAAAUGCUGACUUGUCAUCAUUAAUGGCUACAGCAACUAAAGGAUAGAUGAAAGCACUUUGGUUCAGUUCACUACCAGCUUCAGGUGGAAGCCAGUGUUCGCUGCAGGGUGGGCAAAGUGAUCUGGACCAGAGCAUCCUGAAAGAUCUUCUUCCGGACAGUACUGCUAUCAUAGUCGUAUUGCUGCCAUUUAAAAGAAGGAGAAUCAACCAUGAGAUCCUGAAGUGCUGACAACCCCCUCUCACUUUCAUGUAUAACCCAGAAAUAAUACCAACUGAACGCAAUGCACAGAAGCAUUAAUUAAUUGCUUCCACUCAAACUUGGCUCUGGGAAAGACAUUUUAUAAAGUUUCUGUUUUCAUAUUGUACAAUGUUAAAGUAUCAUUGUACUUUAAAACUAGUUUAAUUAACAAAAUUAAAAAUGUAUGAACACCAGUUCUAAAAGCUCCUCUCCCAUUUUUCCUUUCAUGGUUAUGUCUGACUGCAAGUUGACAUACAGGCAUACCUCAGUUAACAAAGCUUCUAACACUGAAGACAUAAUGCCUAUGAACAUAUCUAUUUUGAUAACUGAGGUAUACCUGCAUAACUUGAUAGAGCCAGCUGUACCAUUAGACAGAGGAUGUGACCAGCUCAAGCAGCCAGUUUUGG